rnacentral:misc_RNA from 1 species
GAUGAAGAACGUAGCGAAAUGCGAUAAGUAAUGUGAAUUGCAGAAUCCAGUGAAUCAUCGAAUCUUUGAACGCACAUUGCGCCCGCCAGCAUUCUGGCGGGCAUGCCUGUUCGAGCGUCAUUUCAACCCUCGACCUCCCUUUGGGGAAGUCGGCGUUGGGGACCGGCAGCACACCGCCGGCCCUGAAAUGGAGUGGCGGCCCGUCCGCGGCGACCUCUGCGUAGUAAACCAACUCGCACCGCAACCCCGACGUGGCCACGCCGUAAAACACCCAACUUCUGAACGUUGACCUCGAAUCAGGUAGGACUACCCGCUGAACUUAAGCAUAUCAAUAAGCGGAGGA